ACUCGGACCUCUCUCAAUCUCCUCAACGGUUGUUGGGGUUGAUAAUACAUUUAGAAGGAAUUUUGAUUGGGAAGAGUAUUUGGAACGAGCUCGAGAGCGUGAAAGAUAGGUCCUGCGCUGUUAGUUGAUGUUCCAAGGGAUAAGAACAUUACUGGUGAUGUCGUUCUCAAAGAUUUGAAAUUGUAGGUAGAAGCACGAAGUUCACUAAAACUUCUGGUCACUAUGCAAGAAAAUCCAGACACCCCUUAAAAGCUAUUCACCUUCAUUUUCUAUCAUUUUGUCUUGGGCCACAAACCUUUCACAGUUUACCUCGACUCCAUUGUCGUCAAGCAAAACAACCCAAAGGAUGUCAGAGUUGGAGAUGAGUCAUGAAGAGCUUAGGGAGCAACUAGCUCAAUCUAGGGAGGAACUAGCUCCAUCUGAAGCAAGGCACCAAGCACAAAUGACUGAAGUGAUGAUGUUGAUGAGAGACAUGUUUAACCAACUUAGCCCACUUAUGUGUGAUUCAAAUCCUUCUCAGGGUGGCAAUGCUUGAUGGGAAUUAUGGGAAUGAAACUGUGAAUCCUGAGUUUUACCAUGAAGUGGACAAGAAAGCGUUUUUGUUCACUGAAAGAUGUUAAGAAGUAUGUCAAAAUGGAAGCAAAUGAAACUCAGGAAAUUCAUGAGGCCUCACAACCUGGUGGACAUUCUAAGCAUGUUGUAAAGUUUUUUGUGAAUAGACAUGAACAAACGUUUGUAUAUAUAUUUUUGUUAACACAAGGUUAGCGAUGUUGCUGCUUGCUGGCUGUGGCUGUUUGAGGGCAAGGCACCAAGCACAAAAAAGAUAUAUACAAGAUUUUGUAUAUUUUUUGUGAUGUACAAAAUCUUGUAUAAAUCUUUUGGCAAUUUUGUUUUGGGAACUUGUGAUUUUUUGUUGGGAACUUGUGAUGUUGGGAUGUAAAAAAAUCCUAAGUUGUGAUAGCAAGAAAAAAAAAUUAUAGUCGCAUUUUUAAAACACGGCUAUAGUUUCUUCCAAUGUAGCUAAAAGUGAGGUCUAUAGCCGUGUUAGACCUAUUGCCGCGUUUUUAAAAACACAUCUAUAGGCCAGACCUAUAGCUGCAUUUGUAAAAAAAAUGUAGCUAUAGACAGAGGAGAUAAAGUGAGAUUGGGUCACUGCUGUGAAUUUGUUUAGGUUUUGGCCUUGAGGGUUCGAACCAUUGAGAACAUCAGCUUGGGGUUUCGGUCUAAGAGGAUGGGUUAGUGAGAAAAAGGUGUGGAGAGAUGGCGAAAGACCAAGUCAGUUCAAAGAGAGUCAUCGCCGAGUGGUGGCUGUGAGAGGGAAAGUGCUGGUUUUCUUCUCCAAAGACACAGAUUUGGGAAUAGAGGCGAAGUGCAGGUUCAAUCUCUCUCUUUCACUAUGACCGAGACCCACGAACCCAAUCAUCAACAAUCGGGUGGCACACACCAACACAACCACCAAUGGUGGCCAUCGUUAUCACUCUCCCUUCCUCUUUUGUUUUCUUUUCUAUUUCUCUAUUUAUUUUAAUUUCAUUUGUCUUUUUUGUUUUGGGUAUGGCCGAGACUCUUCUUUUUUUCUUUUUCUUUUUUGGUUUGGUUUGUUGAUUAGGUUUGGUUGCAAGAAAUGUGUGUAAAUUUGGAUUGCUUUCAAAAUGGGUGUAAAUUCGGAUGAAUGUGUGUACUGUUGAAGUGUUUGUGUUUUGAAUUUUGAAUUGUAAAUAUGUAGGCUUUGAUGUGUGUGGAUAUGUGUGUUUGGGUUUACAUGUUCUAUGUGUUUCCUUGUUGGAUUUAUAGAUUUGAUUUGCUGGAGGUUUCAAGUU